rnacentral:rRNA from 1 species
GUCCACGCCUUAACGAUGAAUACUCGAUGUCAGCCCGCAAGGGUUGGUGUCCAAGCUAACGCAUUAAGUAUUCCACCUGGGAAGUACGAUCGCAAGGUUGAAACUCAAAGGAAUUGACGGGCCCGCACAAGCAGUGGAGCAUGUGGUUUAAUUCGAUGCAACGCGAAGAACCUUACCUGGGUUUGAAAAGCUCUGUAAACCGAUGAAAGUCGGGUAGUGUAGCAAUACACGCGGAGUACAGGUGCUGCAUGGCUGUCGU